rnacentral:rRNA from 1 species
GACGAACGCUGGCGGCGUGCUUAACACAUGCAAGUCGAACGGAAAGGCCCUGCUUUUGUGGGGUGCUCGAGUGGCGAACGGGUGAGCAACACGUGAGUAACCUGCCCUUGACUUUGGGAUAACUUCAGGAAACUGGGGCUAAUACCGGAUAGGAGCUCCUGCUGCAUGGUGGGGGUUGGAAAGUUUCGGCGGUUGGGGAUGGACUCGCGGCUUAUCAGCUUGUUGGUGGGGUAGUGGCUUACCAAGGCUUUGACGGGUAGCCGGCCUGAGAGGGUGACCGGCCACAUUGGGACUGAGAUACGGACCAGACUCGUACGGGAGGCAGCAGUGGGGAGUAUUGCACAAUGGGCGGAAGCCUGAUGCAGCAACGCCGCGUGCGGGAUGACGGCCUUCGGGUUGUAAACCGCUUUCGCCUGUGACGAAGCGUGAGUGACGGUAAUGGGUAAAGAAGCACCGGCUAACUACGUG